rnacentral:tRNA from 2 species
ACUUAAAUAAUUUAAAUAAAAUAUUGAUUUGUGGAGUCAAAAAUGUGAGUGAUAAUUUUCACUUUAGGUU